rnacentral:lncRNA from 1 species
ACCAGCCUGACCAACAUGGAGAAACCCCGUCUCUGCUAAAAAUAUAAAAUUAGCCAGGUGUGAUGGCGUAUGCCUGUAAUCUCAGCUACUUGGGAGGCUGAGGCAGGAGAAUCGCUUGAACCCAGGAGGCGGAGGCUGCGGUGAGCCGAGAUCGCACCAUUGCACUCCAGGCUGGGCAACAAGAGUGAAACUCCAUCUCAAAAAAAAAAAAAAAAAAAGAAAGUGGCAUUUGAGCUAUCUUGAAGAGGAAGGAAGAAUUCCACUAAUAGGCAGGAGGAAAAGGCAUCCAGGCAGGGGGAACAGUGUGAGCAAGCGUGGAGAGGUGCAACACACGGUCAGUGCCAGGAAACAGGAGGAAACAAGGGGGCGGUGAGAAUAAGGAGCAGAGAGCCGCUAAUCUGAACUGGGGGCACAUUUUGAUGAGCUGGGGCUCCAGCUGAGAAGUCUGGACCUUAUAAGUUGAGGGGAACCAUCUGAAGUGUUUUGGCAGGGGAGGAAUGAUCAUGGCUGUGCCAUCUGGCAGGCUAAUCUGGCACAGUGAGGAGGAUCCUGGCCCUUGCCCUGCAAGCUUUUGUGAUUCAGACUCCAUCUUCCACCUUCCCCUUGAGCUUUUUCUAAGUGUACCCCUCCCUUCGCUUACCUGUUCAAAGGCUCUGUGACUUGCUAACUGGAGGGAGCAGCCUAAUUUGGAAGGAAAAGCAGAAGUGUAUAUCAGGGAGAACCUCAGAGGCGGGGUUCAAGCCCGGGGAAGAAGACUGAGGAAGAGUCCUAAGCCCUCCCCAGAGAUGCU